ensembl:snRNA U6 U6 spliceosomal RNA
AUGCUCACUUUGGCAGCACAUAUAUGAAAAGUGGAACGAUACUGAGAAGAUUAGCAUGGCCCCUGUGCAACGAUGGCACGCAAAUUCGUGAAGCAUUCCAUAUUAAA